CGUGUAGGCGGCCUUGUAAGUCAGGCGUGAAAGGUUCUGGCUCAACCAGAGACUUGCACCUGAUACUGCAAGGCUUGAGUGCAGGAGAGGAGAGCGGAAUUCUUGGUGUAGCGGUGAAAUGCGUAGAUAUCAAGAAGAACACCAGUGGCGAAGGCGGCUCUCUGGCCUGUCACUGACGCUGAGGCGCGAAAGCCAGGGGAGCGAACAGGAUUAGAUACCCUGGUAGUCC
rnacentral:rRNA from 1 species